AGCCAGGAGCUGGGCAGUUCCAGGGAGGGACGGGCAGGCGUCAGGCCCAGGACGGGGCUGAGCAGCGUGCUGGAGGGGGCCGGCUGCCGAGGGCCCUGCAACUCCUCCCGGACCCUCAGCCUCCCCUCGGCCCCUCUGCACUCGGCCACGGGACUGCUGGGCAUGUGCCCAUGGCCCAGGGACUCCAGGCGGUCCCGGGAGAGCACCUGGACUUGCUAGCCCACCCCCACCAGCUGACUCAGAGUGCGGGGGCAGAGCCCAGGGUCGGGUUUUCACGGCCCUCCCGGGGAUGCCAGGCUGCUGGGGUGAGACUUCUGACCUGCCUUGCCUGGCGGGAAGCUUGGAAUAUCUGGGUCCAAGAGCCCCAUUCACUCCUACUGGACCCAGGACCCAGCAAUGCAAUGGGCAUGUGAGCAGCCUGGGCCACAGAGGCAACAGUCAAAAACCCUCUGGGAGAUAAUGCAGAGGCAGUAGGAAGGCCGGAUCCCUGCAGCUGUCCUGUGAGCCUGUGUGUCCACCCUACCACACCACAGGUGAGAACACAACCCCAAAGUCAAGGUCACCAAGGGAGCAGGUGGCUGAGCAGUGCUCUGAACAC
rnacentral:lncRNA from 1 species